GAUGAACGCUGGCGGCGUGCCUAAUACAUGCAAGUCGAGCGAACGGACGAGAAGCUUGCUUUUCUGAUGUUAGCGGCGGACGGGUGAGUAACACGUGUAUAACCUACCUAUAAGACUGGGAUAACUUCGGGAAACCGGAGCUAAUACCGGAUAAUAUUUUGAACCGCAUGGUUCAAAAGUGAAAGACGGUCUUGCUGUCACUUAUAGAUGGAUCCGCGCUGCAUUAGCUAGUUGGUAAGGUAACGGCUUACCAAGGCAACGAUGCAUAGCCGACCUGAGAGGGUGAUCGGCCACACUGGAACUGAGACACGGUCCAGACUCCUACGGGAGGCAGCAGUAGGGAAUCUUACGCAAUGGGCGAAAGCCUGACGGAGCAACGCCGCGUGAGUGAUGACGGUCUUCGGAUCGUAAAGCUCUGUUAUUAGGGAAGAACAUAUGUGUAAGUAACUGUGCACAUCUUGACGGUACCUAAUCAGAAAGCCACGGCUAACUACGUG
rnacentral:rRNA from 1 species